GACGAACGCUGGCGGCGUGCUUAACACAUGCAAGUCGAACGGAAAGGCCUGCUUUCCCUUGUGGAUUGCGGGUACUCGCGUGGCGAACGGGUGAGUAACACGUGAGUGAUCUGCCCCCAACUCGGGUAUAAGCCUGGGAAACUGGGUCUAAUUCCCGAUAGGACUGCAGGGUGGUGCCUGUGGUGGAAAACGAUUUUCUUGUGGUUGGGGAUGAGCUCGCGGCCUAUCAGCUAGUUGGUGGGGUAAUGGCCUACCAAGGCGGGGACGGGUAGCCUGCCUGGGAGGGUGGGCGUGCACAUUGGGACUGCGACAUGGCGCAUGCUACUACGGGAGGCAGCAGUGGGGAAUAAUGCACAAUGGGCGGAAGCCUGAGGCAGCGAGGCCGAGUGGGGGAUGACGGGCUUGGGGUGGUAAACUCCUUUCGACCGCGAGGAAGCCACCUGGUUGGAAGGGUGGUGACGGUAGUGGGAGAAGAAGCACCGGCUAACUACGUG
rnacentral:rRNA from 1 species